rnacentral:rRNA from 1 species
UACAUAGGGUGCUAGCGUUACUCGGAAUUAUUGGGCGUAAAGGAUGCGUAGAAGGACUAGUAAGUCUUGUGUGUAAUCCCUGGGCUUAACCCAGGAACUGCACAAGAUACUGCUAGUCUAGAGUGAGAUAGAGGAUAAUGGAAUUCUUAGUGGAGGGGUUAAAUCCGUAGAUAUUAAGAGGAACAUCGAAGGCGAAGGCAAUUAUCUGGGUCUUUACUGACUUUGAGGCAUGAAAGCGUGGGGAGCAAAUAGG